GUGAGUGUAGCUCAACUGGCAGAGCACUGGACUGUGGCUCCAGUGGUUGCGGGGUCGAAACCCGUCACUCACC
rnacentral:tRNA from 1 species